rnacentral:rRNA from 1 species
UACGAAGGGGGCGAGCGUUGUUCGGAUUUACUGGGCGUAAAGGGCGCGCAGGCGGCUCAUUUUGUCAGGCGUGAAAGCCCCGGGCUUAACCUGGGAACUGCGUUUGAUACGGAUGGGCUAGAGUUCGGGAGAGGAGAGUGGAAUUCCCAGUGUAGAGGUGAAAUUCGUAGAUAUUGGGAAGAACACCGGUGGUGAAGGCGGCUCUCUGGACCGAGACUGACGCUGAGGCGCGAAAGCGUGGGGAGCAAACAGG